UACGAAGGGGACUAGCGUUGUUCGGAAUUACUGGGCGUAAAGCGCACGUAGGCGGAUUUGUUAGUCAGGGGUGAAAUCCCAAGGCUCAACCUUGGAACUGCCUUUGAUACUGGGGAUCUCGAGUCCGGAAGAGGUGAGUGGAACUGCGAGUGUAGAGGUGAAAUUCGUAGAUAUUCGCAAGAACACCAGUGGCGAAGGCGGCUCACUGGUCCGGUACUGACGCUGAGGUGCGAAAGCGUGGGAGCAAACAGG
rnacentral:rRNA from 1 species